GUGAGAGUUUGAUCCUGGCUCAGGACGAACGCUGGCGGCGUGCCUAACACAUGCAAGUCGAGCGAGUAGAGUUCUUCGGAACAAAGCUAGCGGCGGACGGGUGAGUAACACGUGGGCAACCUGCCUCAUAGAGGGGAAUAGCCUCCCGAAAGGGAGAUUAAUACCGCAUAAGAUUGU
rnacentral:rRNA from 1 species